rnacentral:misc_RNA from 1 species
UUAUAGUCAUUUAAUAGACGAUUUCAGACAGCUUUUGUACAGAGAAUUUCGGGGGGUGCCGUCGGCGGACUGACCCUCCCCCGCCGGGGGAAGAGCCGCCGAGGCAACGGGGGGUUUUCACAAAGGGUGAUCCGUUGCGCGCGGGGGGUGCCCGCGCGCCGCGGGGCGGCCACAGGGGCCAAAUUUUUGUAAUGAUCCUUCCGCAGGUUCACCUACGGAAA